rnacentral:rRNA from 2 species
AGAGUUUGAUCUUGGCUCAGGAUGAACGCUAGCGGCAGGCUUAAUACAUGCAAGUCGAACGGGAUUCAGGUAGCAAUACUUGAUGAGAGUGGCGCACGGGUGCGUAACACGUAUGCAACCUACCUUUAACUGGUGAAUAGCCCCGGGAAAUCGGGAUUAAUACACCAUAACAUUACAAGAGGGCAUCCUCUAAUAAUUAAAGAACUUCGGUUAAAGAUGGGCAUGCGGGACAUUAGCUAGUUGGUGAGGUAACGGCUCACCAAGGUAAUGAUGUUUAGGGGUCCUGAGAGGGUUAUCCCCCACACUGGUACUGAGACACGGACCAGACUCCUACGGGAGGCAGCAGUAAGGAAUAUUGGUCAAUGGGCGCAAGCCUGAACCAGCCAUGCCGCGUGAAGGAAGACGGCGCUAUGCGUUGUAAACUUCUUUUGUCAGGGAAUAAAUGUAGGUACGUGUACUUACUUGAAGGUACCUGAAGAAUAAGCAUCGGUUAACUUCGUGCCAGCAGCCGCGGUAAUACGGAGGAUGCAAGCGUUAUCCGGAUUCAUUGGGUUUAAAGGGUGCGCAGGCGGAUUGGUAAGUCAGGGGUGAAAUCCCACAGCUCAACUGUGGAACUGCCUUUGAUACUGUCAGUCUAGAGUAUAGUUGAAGUUGGCGGAAUGUGUCAUGUAGCGGUGAAAUGCUUAGAUAUGACACAGAACACCGAUCGCGAAGGCAGCUAGCUAAGCUAUAACUGACGCUCAUGCACGAAAGCGUGGGGAUCAAACAGGAUUAGAUACCCUGGUAGUCCGCGCUGUAAACGAUGAUUACUCGAUGUUGGCGAUACACAGUCAGCGUCUGAGCGAAAGCAAUAAGUAAUCCACCUGGGGAGUACGAUCGCAAGAUUGAAACUAAAACGAAUUGACGGA